AUACUUACCUGGCAAGGAAAGUACCAUGAUCACAAAGAUGGUUUUCUUAGGGUGAGGCUGAUCCUCUUUAUCCAUGGCUUUCCAGAUGUGCUGACCUCUGUGAGUUCCCCACUGGGAAACUUGACUGCAUAAUUUGUGGUACAGGGGGGAAUGCAUUCUCACCUA